rnacentral:rRNA from 1 species
GACGUAGGGCGCGAGCGUUGUCCGGAUUUAUUGGGCGUAAAGAGCUCGUAGGCGGCUUGUCGCGUCGACUGUGAAAUCCCGCGGCUCAACCGCGGGUCUGCAGUCGAUACGGGCAGGCUAGAGUUCGGUAGGGGAGACUGGAAUUCCUGGUGUAGCGGUGAAAUGCGCAGAUAUCAGGAGGAACACCGGUGGCGAAGGCGGGUCUCUGGGCCGAUACUGACGCUGGAGGAAGCGGAAAAGCGUGGGGAGCGAACAGG